AAAACAGUCAACACCUUCCACUCCGUUUAUGGCGCAGUGUACAGAGAACACUGACAACGUACCUCCAAUGCUGACCAGUGACCACUAACAAACAAAAAGACCAGAACAGAGUCUCGAAAAGCCUCGACAUCAGAUCGAUGGUAUAUAGCUGUCAGGACAGCGAUGACACUGUUGAUCUCUGUGAGGAGAUGCUGCAGAUCUCCAUGUUCAUGUUAGUGAAGGAGCUCCCGGCCUCACUGCCGCAUUCUGGAUAUGAAGAGCUGGAAGAUAUGAUGUUCUUCAGCCGGUGGAGAGCAAUGAUCAGCAGGGCAACCUGCCUAUCAGUGGGCUCGUAAGCUGGUGCGGGUUGUUGAUAGGCCACCGCUGGUCCAUUAGGACUUUGGGGUGGUCACAUCGGCUCAGUGGUGCACACAGAAGAGAGUCUGGAGUGGAAUGACAUAUGGAUGGAGCUUUGGAUGCAAGCGGUGGGGCAGAGCUAUGCAUGUCAAUAGGACCGAGGCGUCAUGCCUCCUGGGAAAGUCUUAUCUCUUCUGCUCUUUGCACUGAAGACACGGAACACAGCUUAUGGAUCGAUGCAAAGCAUGACUGUCACUUCUAUUAUUUAGUAUAAUGAAUGGGAAUUAUUUUUUCUGUAUUAAUGAAGGCUUACAUUCUUACUCAUGGAUCAUCAGUGAUUUAUCUUGAAUCAGUAGAAAACUAUCUAUUCCUCCAAAGGGACAGUUCUCCAAAGCAUUAAAUUCUCUCAUCAUGUACUCUCCCUUGUGUCUUUCUGAACCUGUCAUUCAACUGUUUUUGUCCAUGUAGGUCAACAGGGUUCAAAACAACAUUGAUCCCCAAUGACCUUCACGCUACACCAUAACAAACUGUGACAUUUACUAUAAAUAGACAAAAGCUAUGGUUGCCAGAAUUUUAGCAUAAAAAUAUGCUAGAAUGUUUUUUGUUUUGUUUUAUAUUUUAAACUUGAAGGGAUAGUUCACCCAAAAAUGAAAUUCUGUCAUCAAUUACACGCCCUCAUGUCGUUCUAAACCCGUAGACCUUCGUUUCGUCUUCGGAACACAAAUCAAUAUACU